AAAAUGAAAAGGCAAACUUAUUGAAAAAUAAGGACGCAAAGCCUCAGGUCUAAAGCAGGAAUCCUGCCAAGACAGCUGGGCUGCCAAA
rnacentral:ncRNA from 1 species